rnacentral:misc_RNA from 1 species
ACAAAGACAAUUGCUUGAAAUAUGUAUGAUAUUUAGAACAAAGGAGGCACCUAAAACAAAGUGUAGAAAAUGCAUUUCACAGGGGCAACUGAUUUGAUCACAGAAUCAGUACCCAACAUUUGAGAAGUUCCACUAAAAAGGCAUGGCCAUCAGUUACUAUUUAUUAUUAAUAAUCCUAGCCCACAAUAUCCCUUGGUCUCUUAUAUUCCAUACAUAGACACAAGGUUGGAAUUAAUGUUAUUCUCAUAGUGAAGAAUGUCCCUGUACACCUAAUGAAAAACUAUGCAGACAUUUUUAGCUAAAUUUGCCCUUCAAAACAAAAGCUUAAAUGAAAACGUCCAUAUCUAUACGAAGUUAAAUCCAAUUCACUGAUUGAAACCGUAAGCUUUAAAUGGCACCUUUGUCACCUAACUUACUGUGAAAAAGGUGAAAGCUUAUUGUAACUACAUAAUAGACCAAUGGGAAUUGAAUUCACCAUUUAGCAAUAAUGUUGCAUUUGGUAUAGGGGUCAAGACAGACCAACAGACAAGCUAAUCGCCCCCGGUAAUUGAUUUCCAUUUUAAGGAGUUAGUUAGGUUUCAAGCCCUCUACUGUACUAAGAAACCCUAUCAUAUGGUGUCUCACGUACUCAUUGGACAGGAGAAGGAAAGAUUAUUGUCCUCUCUAAUCACCAUUUUUUUUUGGCCCUCCCAACCUCCAUUGGCUUCAGUUAGCCAACUAAAAGUACUACUUUUUUGCUAAAUUCCAUCCAAAACAAAUAAAACUGCCCUCUCCCUCAAUGGACUUAACUUAUCCUACUCGCACCAAGCAUAGGAUCGGACAACUGUUUAUCUUCUUCUAUCCUGUGUCAUUACACCCUAUCCUGUCCUAUGUCGUCCCCUCGAAUGCAGUUGCAACUCCAAGUUCCAAACCCAGUCAAAGUGCUGAUGCACUAAUCACGCGAAUAAAGUGCUGACAUCUGAAAUGCAAUAGUAAUCACCAGUUAUAUUUUAAUUAGUAGAAACAAAUUUUAACCAAGAGAGCUUCUUGAUAACCUGAGGGAGAAAUUAAAAGUUGUGUCCGUUUUCUGCUCGAACAGAAGAAAAUAAAUUCAAGAUGAGAUGACUGACCUUGUACAAUCUGAGUCAGCAGCGU